rnacentral:rRNA from 1 species
GAUGAACGCUGGCGGCGUGCCUAAUACAUGCAAGUCGAGCGAACGGACGAGAAGCUUGCUUCUCUGAUGUUAGCGGCGGACGGGUGAGUAACACGUGGAUAACCUACCUAUAAGACUGGGAUAACUUCGGGAAACCGGAGCUAAUACCGGAUAAUAUUUUGAACCGCAUGGUUCAAAAGUAAAAGACGGUCUUGCUGUCACUUAUAGAUGGAUCCGCGCUGCAUUAGCUAGUUGGUAAGGUAACGGCUUACCAAGGCAACGAUGCAUAGCCGACCUGAGAGGGUGAUCGGCCACACUGGAACUGAGACACGGUCCAGACUCCUACGGGAGGCAGCAGUAGGGAAUCUUCCGCAAUGGGCGAAAGCCUGACGGAGCAACGCCGCGUGAGUGAUGAAGGUCUUCGGAUCGUAAAACUCUGUUAUUAGGGAAGAACAUAUGUGUAGGUAACUGUGCACAUCUUGACGGUACCUAAUCAGAAAGCCACGGCUAACUACGUG